rnacentral:rRNA from 1 species
GAUGAACGCUGGCGGCGUGCCUAAUACAUGCAAGUCGAGCGAACAGACCAGGAGCUUGCUCCUCUGACGUUAGCGGCGGACGGGUGAGUAACACGUGGAUCACCUCUCUAUAAUACUGGGAUAACAUCGGGAAACCGGAGCUAAUACCGGUUAAUAUAUUUAACCGCAUGGUUCAAUAGUGAUAGACGGUUUUGCUGCCACCUACAGAUGGAUUCGCGCCGCAUUAGCUAGUUUGUAAGGUAACGGCUUACCAAGGCAACGAUGCGCAGACGACCUGAGAGAGGGGUAGGCCACACGGGAGCGGGACCACGGUCAAGGCUACUGCGAGAGGCAGCAGAAGGGAAUCGGCGGCAAUAGGCGGGAGCUUGGCGGAGCAGCGCCGAGUCAGUGAUGACGAUGUUCGGUGCGUGAAGCUCGGUUAUGGGGGAAAAACAACUGUGUGAGUAACUAUGCACGUCUUGACGGUACCUGAUCAGGAAGCAACGGCUAACUACGUG